UAGGGAAAAGAGAAAACAUACACUGAUACAAAAGAUAACAUGCACAUAAAUCACUGGUUCAUGGUUUUCCAAUCAGCUUUACAGCCAUAAAUGUGCAGCCAAAGAGACAGUCAGUCACUUCCUCCACCAGCAAACAGCCUCAACACUCUGCACAUCAAGAGAGAUUGCAGCAUCUGAUCAGAAAACUUCACUGUUAAAGUUGCUGUUUUCUGUGGUCUUCGCCAAGGAAAACUGAAAAUUUUCAAGAAAUUUCAUGGUGUCAGAUGGUAAAAAGCAGGUCGACAACUGAGUCCAACACAUCAUGGAGAACAGUUCCAUCAGUUUGGAAUCCAUCCAGGAGGCAGCAAUGCUCAGAUCAGGUGUUGUCGGAAACCCGUACCUGGCAGGAGGAUACCUGAUAGGAAGCUCCCUGCUGGGCUUCCUCAUCAUCAUCGGGGCCUUCUUGUACAAUCAACGCAAUCUCAGUCUUUUUAAAAGAUCCUGCAUCAUAUCCUUCACCUGCCAGGAAAACAGCCUCAUGGGUCUUCAACUCGUCUACAGCUGUCUGUUGACUCUGCUCACCAUGGAUGCUCUGAAUCUGAUCGUGGCAAUAAUCUUGGGAGCUACACUGGUUGCAUUGUCCUGCGAUGUAAUCAACUGUGUUCUGGCUGAAAACAUCUGGUUCCUGUCCAGGUGGUUUGGAGUGAUUAUUCAUCUUGUGAACGCCUCGUUGUCCAUCUAUAAUCUGCAUCAGCCACUGAGUGUAGCCAGGGUUCGCAUCGCCUACUCAUUGGUUUCUGUGGUGAUUAUCAUUAUGGUCCCACUUUUUCUGUAUGUCUACAACGUGCCCACAUUCACUUUGGCCGCUUUCAUGUUUCUGUUUGCUCUGUCCAUCAUUGUAGCAUCUAGAAGGCCUACCUUGUCCCCGUCCACUUCCACCCUGAAGAAACUGAUCAUGGUUGUUGCAAUGUGCAACUUCCUGGUUGUCUACGUCCCCACUUUCAUUCUUCAGUGCCUCGUGUACACCGCAGCCAAUGUUACCGACUUAGCGAAUUACCAAAAUAUUUAUUUUAAUGUUCUGUAUUUCACAAACCUUCAUCUCAUUUUCGAUGGACUCCAGUGUGCUUUGUUCCUGAAAUUGCCUUCUGGAGAAGAACAGCAACAGCAGCAACAACAACUGCAAGAGUGGCGCCAACAACAGUGGGAGCCACAACAGCAACAACAGUGGCGUCAACAAGAGCAACAACAGUGGCGUCAACAACAGUGGCAACCACAACAGCAACAACAGUGGCGUCAACAAGAGCAACAACAGUGGCGCCAACAACAGUGGCAACCACAACAGCAACAACAGUGGCAGCCACAACAGCAACAACAGUGGCGCCAACAACAGUGGCAACCACAACAGCAACAACAGUGGCGCCAACAACAGUGGCAACCACAACAGCAACAAAAGCUGGGUUUCCAAAAUGCAGGAUUCACUGGUUCUACAAAUGUAUAUCAAUAAUGAUCAAAAUUAUGUCUCUGCACCAUAAAAAUCAAUGUACAUCCCAACCACUGGUGGAUAACCUAGCGUUGUUUCACAAUUCAGAAUUCUUGCUGUCCUCAUGGAUUGUAUCUGUUGGACAGAAGGGUGCAGCUCCUGCUUUAUUCAUAUAAACCCUGAAAUCACAGAUGAAAAUCACCAUUUCACCCUCUCUGUCUGACUUAAAAUCCAGCAUGAAGCAAGAAGAAAUGUGUAAAUACUUCCAUAAUGUACAGGCAGUGGAGAGCUGUAUAAAAUACAGUUUACGGAAAUAGCAGCAACUUUGAAAACUUUUCAAAAUGAAACAUCUGUUCAAUAUGUUGGUUUGUUCAAUUACUUAAAGGCGGAGGGCACAUCUGAAAUAUGUUGUAGUUCCUACAACGUUUACCUGAUCUGGAUGUAAAUACCUUCAAAAUUAAAGCUGAAAGUCUGUAACUAAAGCACAUCUGGAUUGUUUCAUUUAAUGUCUUGGUCAUUUUUUUGGAUUGGAAAGUGAGGGGGCAAUUACUUUUUCACAUGGACAGUGUUUUCUUCAAAAAAAUAAUAAAAUCAAUCAGUCAAUUGAAAACUGCAUUUUUUGCUUUCUUGAGUUUUCUUUGUCUC
ensembl:lncRNA